rnacentral:tRNA from 1 species
AUGCCGAUAGUAUAUUACAGUACAGUUGCCUUCCAAGCAGAAAAACCAAACAUGGUCAGCAUA